GACGAACGCUGGCGGCGUGCUUAACACAUGCAAGUCGAACGGAAAGGCCCUGCUUUUGUGGGGUGCUCGAGUGGCGAACGGGUGAGUAACACGUGAGUAACCUGCCCUUGACUUUGGGAUAACUUCAGGAAACUGGGGCUAAUACCGGUUAGGAGCUCCUGCUGCAUGGUGGGGGUUGGAAAGUUUCGGCGGUUGGGGAUGGACUCGCGGCUUAUCAGCUUGUUGGUGGGGUAGUGGCUUACCAAGGCUUUGACGGGUAGCCGGCCUGAGCGGGUGACCGGCCACAUUGGGACUGAGAUACGGCCCAGACUCCUACGGGAGGCAGCAGUGGGGAAUAUUGCACAAUGGGCGGAAGCCUGAUGCAGCAACGCCGCGUGCGGGAUGACGGCCUUCGGGUUGUAAACCGCUUUCGCCUGUGACGAAGCGUGAGUGACGGUAAUGGGUAAAGAAGCACCGGCUAACUACGUG
rnacentral:rRNA from 1 species